CCUCUGUAACAUGGAAGUAUUGGGAAUGGUGAACGAGAUCCAUUCUGUUCAGGGCCAAAAAAUGGAAAAUGAUUCUAUUCGUAGAAACUCUACGGUGACUUUUCAAGAUUACUUAGAUGACAGUUUUGAUAAUCCUUCGUUUUCUCAAGAUAUUUUCUCGCGUGGGAGUGAAAUGAUGAACCUGAGUGAUUCCAGUACAGAUUCUACCCAAGUUUGUGAAGUUGGAACUCUGGAAUUUUCUUUGCAACAUCCAAUAUCAGUUGGUGAGCAAAUAAGUGAUCAUGAUCAGGAAAAUGCUGGUUACAUUCAUCAUACUAUCUCUGCAGACCAAAUAUAUAUGCAGAUUAAUCCUGGUAAUAGUCCCAUGCCCCGCAAUCCAUCACAUGCUACACUUACAGUUGAGAGCAGAAACCAGGAAACUAAGAAAAAAGAAAUCAAGAGAUUUCGUUGUGAUUUCGAAGGAUGUUCUCGAUCCUACAGUACUGCUGGAAAUCUUAAAACACAUCAGAAAACUCAUACUGGAGAGUUUACUUUUGUAUGUACACAAGAAGGAUGUGGAAAAACAUUUCUGACAUCAUACAGCUUAAAGAUUCACGUACGAGUUCACACAAGAGAGAAACCAUUUGAAUGUAAUAUUGGAGGUUGUGAAAAAGCUUUCAACACUUUGUAUAGAUCUGAUUGGAUGUACCCAUCAUUUGGAAGUAGGGCUGGGGUGGCUACCUGGAAGUGUAGAACAGACCACUCUUAUACUACAAACUGCACCUUCCCCAGGGGUUGUGACCAACCUGAUGGGUUUUGCAUUCUCCUUAGGAUGCAAAUCUGGGAUGAUUCAUCCCUGCACCUGCUUAUUCUGAUUAAAAGCCCAUAAAAGGAUUCACACAGGAAACACAUUUAACUGUGAAAUGGAAGGUUGUCUCAAGUUUUUUACUACAUUGAGUGAUUUGAGAAAACAUACUCGGACCCAUACAGGAGAAAAACCAUACAAAUGUGAAGAAGAUGGUUGUGGUAAAGCAUUUGCAGCAAGUCAUCACCUUAAAACUCACAUAAGGACACAUACUGGUUAG